rnacentral:rRNA from 1 species
GACGAACGCUGGCGGCGUGCUUAACACAUGAAAGUCGAACGAAGUGGAGAACGGGUGAGUAACGCGUAAUCAACCUGCCCUUCAGAGGGGGACAACAGUGGGAAAAGAAUGCUAAUACCGCAUACUGAAGGAGGAGAUAGCGUCGGAUUAGCUAGUAGGAGGGGUACCGGCCCAUCAAGGCGAUGUGCAGGAGCCGGUCUGAGUGGAUGAACGGCCACAUGUGGACUUGGAAACGGCCCAGACUCCUACGGGAGGCAGCAGUGGGGAAUCUUCCGCAAUGGACGAAAGUCUGACGGAGCAACGCCGCGUGAGUGAUGACGGCCUUCGGGUUGUAAAGCUCUGUUAAUCGGGACGCGGUACCGGAAUAGAAAGCCACGGCUAACUACGUGCCAGCCGCCGCGGUAAUAC